rnacentral:ncRNA from 12 species
AAGGUUGGGGUCUGUGGUUGAAAGCCGAUGCCAGUCGCAGGCGAAACGGUCCACGUAAGCUGGGGAAAUUCUCAGUGAGCACGGUGCGGUUUAGACGUAAGCCCGGCCGGACGAAAAGUUCGAGAGAGCGGCGUGGGGGCCAUGAUGGCUAUGAGCAAUGCUCCUGCCGGCGAAUGUGGGGUCAAAAACCAGGUCAGCCAAAUCUU